rfam:Schistosoma mansoni strain Puerto Rico chromosome 3, complete genome
GCACUACUGAGGAGUCCCACAAUAGGACGAAACGGCCGUCCACUGC